rnacentral:hammerhead_ribozyme from 1 species
GUCAAGCUGACGAGUCCCAAAUAGGACUAAAAGCGCUUCCUAGAU